UACGAAGGGGGCUAGCGUUGCUCGGAAUUACUGGGCGUAAAGAGCUCGUAGGCGGUUUGUCGCGUCGAAUGUGAAAACCCGGGGCUCAACCCCGGGCCUGCAUUCGAUACGGGCAGACUAGAGUUCGGUAGGGGAGUCUGGAAUUCCUGGUGUAGCGGUGAAAUGCGCAGAUAUCAGGAGGAACACCGGUGGCGAAGGCGGGACUCUGGGCCGAUACUGACACUGAGAAGCGAAAGCGUGGGGAGCGAACAGG
rnacentral:rRNA from 1 species